rnacentral:rRNA from 1 species
AAUUAACGCUGGCAGAGUGCAUAACACAUGCAAGUCGAGCGGAAUGCGUAGCAAUACGUAUUUAGCGGCAGACGAGUGAGUAACACGUAAGCAAUCUACCCUCGAACGGCGGAUAACUAUCCGAAAGGAUAGCUAAUACGCCGUACUCUCCUUUGGAGGCAUCUUCAGAGGAGGAUAGACCAGCAAUGGUCGUUCAAGGACGAGCUUGCGGCCCAUCAGCUAGUUGGCGGUGUAACGGACCACCAAGGCUACGACGGUACCCGGGCUGAAAGGCCGAACGGGCACGAUGGCACUGAGACACGGGCCAUACUCCUACGGGAGGCAGCAGUGGGGAAUUUGGACAAUGGGCGAAAGCCUGAUCCAGCAACUCUGCGUGAGGGACGAAGGUCUUCGGAUCGUAAACCUCUUUUGCUAGGGACGAAAUCCCGCAAGGGUCUGACGGUA